AAACGCGCCUUUGUUGAUGGGUAGCGGUGCUGGUUUAUCUUAAUAUUUUGCCUCUUCGUUUUCUACGUCGAUGAUAGCCAGAGUGUGCCCCCCCCCCCUUCAGGGGAAUACUCGAAUCUGUUUGUGGUUUGCAGCUGGACGCAGGUGAGGGAGCUCCGCUCGUAGCCUGCAAGACAGCUGUGCGGCCGCGUGAACGGGCCCGGAGCGCGCGCGCGCGCGCGCGCGAGGCCAACAGGCUGUCUUCGAGCGUCAAGGCACGCUGAAAGGAAGGGGAACGGUUAUUCAAGCGUAGUAAUGAACGGGGGGGAAAUCAGCUAUUGUUUACAGUCCGCCCGGCGCGCCGCAAAAUAGCGCCGCGAAGCGAGAUGCGGAUCAAAAUCGGCUCGCCAGAUGAUUCGACUUUACGGCGUGUAAAGCUCGCGUUGUGAAAAUUCUCAUUAGCGGCGCGGGGGGACGAUCGAUCAAAUAAUUCAAACCUCACGCAGUGUAAACACUUUGGAAGGGAGCACAAAAUAAAAUCCAGAAAGCGGAGACUGCAAAUCGCCACGAGGUCCUGAAUUAAGCAAAAACAAACGGCAGAUUGUCCGUAAUGUGUUUCCUGAGAUGGUUUGAUUCGGUCUGUUCAUUUGGAAGGAAACCAUUUGCUAAUUGAUUGAUGCAUAUUUUGAAACAAAGCUGCUGAUUGGUUUACUCAUGGCUUGAUUGCUAUUUACGUUAGAGUUUCAACAGCUUCCUGUUGAGCUAUCAAAUCACGCAAAGCGGGGUUUUUUACCCGUUUACGGAGAUCUGAUCAGAAACAAGAUGAUUACUGGCCUCACGCUGGACUUUAAUUCAAGAAAGCUUUGUAUCAGCUGUGACGACACAACUAAACCUAAUCUGUGUUUAAUUGAAUGAUCUGGCCCCCAUAGAAAUAUAAAUAUACUUAUAAUAUCUCAUUCACGGCAAGCCACAAAGUUGCAGUAAUAUCAAAACAGCAUUUCUGAUCGUUUUCCACCAUUACUCAGCACAUAGCUCCUUCGCUACGCCGUCGACAGACAGGUGGCAGCAGAGAGCCACGAGGCCAGCCGCUCGUGCCCCAGGGUCCACAGCAAAACAAUUAAAAUGUAUGUCCGUGUGUGUUAGUCAGUGCCAGCUCCAUCUUGAUGUCACUGCUCAGGACGGCCACGUUUCAGAAGGCAGCACUGACUCUUAUUCAAAAACAUGAAGGCAGCGAGGGAAGAGGAGGUCGGCAGGUUGGAGUAUGAUGGGGUGCAGGCCUGGGACGACACCGGGUUCGGAUGCGUGUUGACAUGAGGUGUGUUGCCACUACUGGAGGCUAAAUAGUCCCCGCAGACUGAUCAGAGCUAAUGAGCUGCAGUUCACUGACCAGUGCGAUGCAUCACAGCCAGACAGGCGACUCUGCCCUUCUCCAUUUCUCUCAGGGAGGACAGUCAGACAUCUCAUCCUGCCUCAGAAACCCCUCCAUCGCACACGUGACCUCCCCACAGCGUUAAGGAUGCCACUACAUUAGCUACUAAGACCGUGGAGACCAAUAAACCUCACUGGAAUAAAAUACUUAUUGUAUACUAAAUGGUUGUUGUUUUUAGCCACUGAGUUGUCCUGUACCUUCAAAAUAAAAGGAAGCUUUGCCAGUUG